CAUGCAUAGCCACCCUCCUAAACAAGAAGGAAUCUGCUCACCAACUUCUAGAAGAGAGUGCUCACCAUGCGGAGGAUCUCAAGACUGGCUGCAGAGACUACUGGAGGAGACGAAGAGACCAAACACAUGAUUUGCACAGCACAGCAGCUCGGAGCUCAAAGGGUGCACAGGGGCUCUGCCACUCAUUUAUCUGCAAGGUUAUCCUGCCAUACGAAAGUCAUUCACAUCCUCAGCAUUCCAGAGCUAGGGAGGCAUGCUCACACGGGAUAAAUAUAGAUCCUGACACCUGAGCCAAGUGCAAUGAAAGUUAACUGGAAAAGUCUCCCUGGUGUGUGCCUGGGUGGAGGAAAAUACCACCCCUGGUCCUCUGCUUGCUGAGACCUGGGUGCCCCUUCAGAGACAGUUGCUGUGCUAAUGGAACAGGGGCAUUCUGGAGAUCAAACACUAAUAACCACCUUGCUUCUCCUCAUGAUUACUGUUUGUUCUGAGAGUAGACAUGGCUCAGGUUCCCCUUCCUGCUGACCUGGAUAAGCAGCAUGAGAGUGAAAGUAUUAUUUAGACAACAAACAGGUUUCUGCUUUUCUCAUGUUUACAGGAAAGAAAACAGAAACUCAAAGGAUGAUACUGAUCCGGAACAUGUGACUCAUUAGUAGUCCAUGGGCGAGUGUAACCACAAAGUGAUAACUUGCAAAGGCGGAGUUUGACCCUCCGCACCCGAGCCUGGAACAUCAGUCCUGAUACCACGACUCCUCUCAGACAGUAGGAAGCCUGACAUGGGAGAGGGACAGAGAGCAAGGACUGCGGUCUGCUGCUCAGGACCAGGAGGAGUCCUCCACGAGAGGGAACCUCAAGUUUCGAAGGUGGCAGCACCAAGACUUGCCUGGCCUUUGCUGUGCAUUGAGCAGUGAAACGGAAGCCGUGAGCCUUGGACUCGAGCUGCUGACAGAGCAGCCCUCAUGGGAUGUGGCUGUGGAAUUUCCCAUUUCUGUGUGAGAAUCUUUCCUCAGAAGAGCGGUGAGACCCAGCUGUACGUGUGCACAGUCACGUGGCUACAGGGGAAGCAGCACUCACUUGCUCUCCCCUCAGGUCUGCCAGGUGCUGCCCUCUGUCAGCUAGAUGUCUGUCUUCCUCCUCCAGGUGCCCAUCAGGAAGUAUUGGUGGCUUUUGCUUCAGCUUUCAAUAUGUUGUGCUGAAUUUGUUCAGAACAUUUAAAUUCAUAAAAAUCCUUUGGGAGAAAUUAAAAUUUUUAAGUAAAGAUUCACCCCUUAUGUGUCUGUCCCUGCCCAUUGUGUAGGGGUUAGCAAUGGAUGGUUCCUGAAGCUUGGCUGUGGGACAUAGGAGGAGAGAAUAUGAGAUUUUCUAAGGAAAAUUUGGCACGCACCCCCUCCACCCCACUUGAAAAUAAUGAGUAAGAGUCACUGAAAUUCUCACACAUUAACCUUACUCAUGUGUGCUUGAGAAAAACACCUAUGAGAGAAGCAGCCUUGUCUAUUAACAACUUGAUUCAGCUGUGUAUUCAGGCCUGAAAGGCAUUUGGGCACCAUGUGUGACUGAUUACAUCAGCUCACUCUUCCUUCAGGGUUUUCUGUUGGUUUCCAUGUCACUGUGGAAUGAUUGCACCCAAAGACAUCCUUCCGAAGGGCCACUUACAGGACACCUGUGACAGAGGUUUAAUAUUAAACUUGUCUGCAUAACUCAUUGUGUGAAAUCUCCUUAUUUUAACAACAGUUUAAGGUGAAGUUUUUUAUCAUUGCUUCUCAAAACUGACUUCAAAAUACUGUUGUUUAAAAAAAAGUACUAAGAGUACUGUUGUGUUUGCCCCACACAAAUGAUAACCAUGUGAGGUAGUGCAUGUGCUAAUUAGCGAGAUGUAGCCAUUCUACAAUAUGUAUGUACUGUACUUCAAAACAUCACUUAGCAUAUGAUAAAUACCUAUAAUUUUAUCUGUCGAUUUAGAAAGGUAAAAUAACACUUUAUAGGUUUGAAGCAUUUCUUUAGAGGAGAGUGCUUACUAUAUGCUUGCUAUUCAACAGUACUCAGCUUGAAGGAAAGGCCCAUUAUCGAUUAGUGCUAUUACAUUUGAAGCCUAAAAUUAUGGCUAAGAUUCAUACCCUUUUAAUUGUAAAAGCCUUACAACGAUUUGCACAAAACCUUAUCAUGCCAAAGCAACAUUCUUCCUGGUGAAGAUUAUUUAAUCAUUUACUUAAUAGCAAGAUAUAGUGAGAUUCUGUUCUUGGGUCCAUAUCAUGCUAAUUGUGGGGGAAAUAAAACACGAUCAGCCAAAGUGUAUUUUCUGGAAAAUCUUACUAUUUAGUGAGGGGGGACAAGCUGAAUUGCAAUGUGAUGAGCUAAGCUGAGAGCCCAGAGAGCAUUCACACACACACACA
ensembl:lncRNA